rnacentral:sRNA from 1 species
CCCUAGCCCUGAUUGCAGUGGAAAUCCUUUUUCUUUUUCGAAAAAGAAAAAGAUUGCAACGGAAAGCGGGAAAUAGC